rnacentral:rRNA from 1 species
UACGUAGGGGGCAAGCGUUGUCCGGAUUUACUGGGCGUAAAGCGCGCGUAGGCGGGAAGAGAAGUCCGGUGGGAAAGCCCACGGCUCAACCGUGGAAGAACGCUGGAAACUCUCUUUCUUGAGGGCGGCAGAGGGAAGUGGAAUUGCUGGUGUAGCGGUGAAAUGCGUAGAUAUCAGCAGGAACACCCGUGGCGAAGGCGG